rnacentral:rRNA from 1 species
AUUGAACGCUGGCGGAAUGCUUUACACAUGCAAGUCGAACGGUAGAGGGGGCAACCCCUCGAGAGUGGCGAACGGGUGAGUAAUAUAUCGGAACGUGCCCAGUCGUGGGGGAUAACGUAGCGAAAGUUACGCUAAUACCGCAUACGAUCUAAGGAUGAAAGCGGGGGAUCGCAAGACCUCGCGCGAUUGGAGCGGCCGAUAUCAGAUUAGGUAGUUGGUGGGGUAAAGGCUCACCAAGCCAACGAUCUGUAGCUGGUCUGAGAGGACGACCAGCACAACUGUAACUGAGACACGGUCCAGGCUCCUACGGGAGGCAGCAGUGGGGAAUGUUGGACAAUGGACGCAAGUCUGAUCCAGCCAUUCCGCGUGCAGGAUGAAGGCCCUCGGGUUGUAAACUGCUUUUGUACGGAACGAAAAGGUCUCUCUUAAUACGGGGGGCUCAUGACGGUACCGUAAGAAUAAGCACCGGCUAACUACGUGCCAGCCGCCGCGGUAA